rnacentral:rRNA from 1 species
AUUGAACGCUGGCGGCAGGCCUAACACAUGCAAGUCGAACGAGUGGCGGACGGGUGAGUAAUGUCUGGGAAACUGCCUGAUGGGGGGGAUUACCUCCUGAAACGGUUGCCUAUUACCGCAAACCAUCAAUUGUGCCAAGAUGGGAUUAGCUUGUGGGUGGGGUAACGGCUCACAAAGGCGACGAUCCCUAGCUGGUCUGAGAGGAUGACCAGCCACACUGGAACUGAGACACGGUCCAGACUCCUACGGGAGGCAGCAGUGGGGAAUAUUGCACAAUGGGCGCAAGCCUGAUGCAGCCAUGCCGCGUGUAUGAAGAAGGCCUUCGGGUUGUAAAGUACUUUCAGCGGGGAGGCGUUACCCGCAGAAGAAGCACCGGCUAACUCCGUGCCAGCAGCCGCGGUAAUAC